AGACCCGAAACCCGGUGAUCUAGCCAUGGGCAGGUUGAAGGUUGGGUAACACUAACUGGAGGACCGAACCGACUAAUGUUGAAAAAUUAGCGGAUGACCUGUGGCUGGGGGUGAAAGGCCAAUCAAACCGGGAGAUAGCUGGUUCUCCCCGAAAGCUAUUUAGGUAGCGCCUCGUGAAUUCAUCUCCGGGGGUAGAGCACUGUUUCGGCUAGGGGGCCAUCCCGGCUUACCAACCCGAUGCAAACUGCGAAUACCGGAGAAUGUUAUCACGGGAGACACACGGCGGGUGCUAACGUCCGUCGUGAAGAGGGAAACAACCCAGACCGCCAGCUAAGGUCCCAAAGUCAUGGUUAAGUGGGAAACGAUGUGGGAAGGCCCAGACAGCCAGGAUGUUGGCUUAGAAGCAGCCAUCAUUUAAAGAAAGCGUAAUAGCUCACUGGUCGAGUCGGCCUGCGCGGAAGAUGUAACGGGGCUAAACCAUGCACCGAAGCUGCGGCAGCGACGCUUAUGCGUUGUUGGGUAGGGGAGCGUUCUGUAAGCCUGUGAAGGUGUGUCGUGAGGCAUGCUGGAGGUAUCAGAAGUGCGAAUGCUGACAUAAGUAACGAUAAAGCGGGUGAAAAGCCCGCUCGCCGGAAGACCAAGGGUUCCUGUCCAACGUUAAUCGGGGCAGGGUGAGUCGACCCCUAAGGCGAGGCCGAAAGGCGUAGUCGAUGGGAAACGGGUUAAUAUUCCCGUACUUGGUGUUACUGCGAAGGGGGGACGGAGAAGGCUAUGUUGGCCGGGCGACGGUUGUCCCGGUUUAAGCGUGUAGGUGUGUGUUCCAGGUAAAUCCGGUUCACUUUAACACUGAGGCGUGAUGACGAGGCACUACGGUGCUGAAGUAACAAAUGCCCUGCUUCCAGGAAAAGCCUCUAAGCAUCAGGUAACAUCAAAUCGUACCCCAAACCGACACAGGUGGUCAGGUAGAGAAUACCAAGGCGCUUGAGAGAACUCGGGUGAAGGAACUAGGCAAAAUGGUGCCGUAACUUCGGGAGAAGGCACGCUGACACGUAGGUGAAGUGAUUUACUCAUGGAGCUGAAGUCAGUCGAAGAUACCAGCUGGCUGCAACUGUUUAUUAAAAACACAGCACUGUGCAAACACGAAAGUGGACGUAUACGGUGUGACGCCUGCCCGGUGCCGGAAGGUUAAUUGAUGGGGUCAGCGCAAGCGAAGCUCCUGAUCGAAGCCCCGGUAAACGGCGGCCGUAACUAUAACGGUCCUAAGGUAGCGAAAUUCCUUGUCGGGUAAGUUCCGACCUGCACGAAUGGCGUAAUGAUGGCCAGGCUGUCUCCACCCGAGACUCAGUGAAAUUGAACUCGCUGUGAAGAUGCAGUGUACCCGCGGCAAGACGGAAAGACCCCGUGAACCUUUACUAUAGCUUGACACUGAACAUUGAGCCUUGAUGUGUAGGAUAGGUGGGAGGCUUU
rnacentral:rRNA from 1 species